UGUAUAUCCCAUUGGCAUACGUGGGCAAGGGGCGGGGUCUAUUUUCCGUGUCAUGGCUCCUCCCUGUAGACUUCAAGAAGUUCCAUAUCCGGAAGUGGGCCCCGUAGACUUUCGUUUGACUGUCGACACCUUUCUCGCUGUGUCAUAUUCACUCAUCAUUGACUGAUGACCCCUGAACAGAUUUCCGGCCCUUCUUCAUACACCUUGUCUUCCACCUUCACAGUCAUGGCACAACACUCAGGAGUGCUGUGAGUUGCAUGACACCUGCAGAGGCUCCAUACUACAGACUACUACUACUCGGUACUACAGAAACCGGAUCACUUGACAAGCCUGUGUCCUGUUUUGGCCUUCCACACUCUGUAGGAUUGCAUAGGCUCCAUUUCUUCUCCCACAUCACCAUUCCAAAACAACUCCAGAUGUUUCGUUUGUAUUAUGGCCAGUUUCUUUACAUCUGUUACACUACCUGUGUUUUGCACCCAAAACUGGACUGCUCUAUCUGUUUCUUGUUUUUUAUCAUUAUCACUUGCAUUGCU